AUUGAACGCUGGCGGCAGGCUUAACACAUGCAAGUCGAACGAGACCUUCGGGUCUAGUGGCGCACGGGUGCGUAACGCGUGGGAAUCUGCCCUUUGCUACGGAAUAACUCAGAGAAAUUUGUGCUAAUACCGUAUGAUGUCGCAAGACCAAAGAUUUAUCGGCAAAGGAUGAGCCCGCGCAGGAUUAGCUUGUUGGUGAGGUAAAAGCUCACCAAGGCGACGAUCCUUAGCUGGUCUGAGAGGAUGAUCAGCCACACUGGGACUGAGACACGGCCCAGACUCCUACGGGAGGCAGCAGUGGGGAAUAUUGGACAAUGGCGAAAGCCUGAUCCAGCAAUGCCGCGUGAGUGAUGAAGGCCUUAGGGUUGUAAAGCUCUUUUACCAGGGAUGAUAAUGACAGUACCUGGAGAAUAAGCACCGGCUAACUCUGUGCCAGCAGCCGCGGUAA
rnacentral:rRNA from 1 species